rnacentral:rRNA from 1 species
CCUACGGGAGGCAGCAGUGAGGAAUAUUGGUCAAUGGACGAGAGUCUGAACCAGCCAAGUAGCGUGAAGGAUGACUGCCCUAUGGGUUGUAAACUUCUUUUAUAUGGGAAUAAAAUGUGCCACGUGUGGGAUUUUGUAUGUACCAUAUGAAUAAGGAUCGGCUAACUCCGUGCCAGCAGCAGCGGUAAUACGGAGGAUCCGAGCGUUAUCCGGAUUGAUUGGGUUUAAAGGGAGCGUCGGUGGAUUGUUAAGUCAGUUGUGAAAGUUUGCGGCUCAACCGUAAAAUUGCCGUUGAAACUGGCAGUCUUGAGUCCAGUCGAGGUGGGCGGCAUUCGUGGUGUAGCGGUUCUAUGCUUAGUUCUCAC